GGGUUGUGAGGUUAAGCGACUAAGCGUACACGGUGGAUGCCCUGGCAGUCAGAGGCGAUGAAGGACGUGCUAAUCUGCGAUAAGCGUCGGUGAGGUGAUAUGAACCGUUAUAACCGGCGAUUUCCGAAUGGGGAAACCCAGUGUGAUUCGUCACACUAUCAUUAACUGAAUCCAUAGGUUAAUGAGGCGAACCGGGGGAACUGAAACAUCUAAGUACCCCGAGGAAAAGAAAUCAACCGAGAUUCCCCCAGUAGCGGCGAGCGAACGGGGAGGAGCCCAGAGCCUGAAUCAGUGUGUGUGUUA
rnacentral:rRNA from 1 species